GUUUUCGUGGUAUAACGGUAGAACAAUCGACGGCGGAUUCGAGAGAUCCAGGUUCGACUCCCGGCGAGAGCA
rnacentral:tRNA from 1 species